AUUGAACGCUGGCGGCAGGCUUAACACAUGCAAGUCGAGCGGAGAUGAGGUGCUUGCACCUUAUCUUAGCGGCGGACGGGUGAGUAAUGCUUAGGAAUCUGCCUAUUAGCGGGGGACAACAUUCCGAAAGGAAUGCUAAUACCGCAUACGCCCUACGGGGGAAAGCAGGGGAUCUUCGGACCUUGCGCUAAUAGAUGAGCCUAAGUCGGAUUAGCUAGUUGGUGGGGUAAAGGCCUACCAAGGCGACGAUCUGUAGCGGCUCUGAGAGGAUGAUCCGCCACACGGGGACUGGGACACGGCCCAGACUCAGGCGGGAGGCAGCAGUGGGGAAUCUUGGACAAUGGGCGGGAGCCUGAUACAGACAGGCAGCGUGUGUGAAGAAGGCCUUUUGGUUGUAAAGCACUUUAAGCGAGGAGGAGGCUACCUGGAUUAAUACUCUAGGAUAGUGGACGUUACUCGCAGAAUAAGCACCGGCUAUCUCUGUGCCAGCCGCCGCAGUAAAAC
rnacentral:rRNA from 1 species